rnacentral:rRNA from 1 species
UUUUUAAAACAUCGUUUUUUGAAAUUAAUUUAAAAUUGGUUCUGCUCUAUGAAAUUAGGUUUUAAAUGGCUGCAGUAUAUUGACUGUACUAAGGUAGCAUAAUCAUUUGCUUUUUAAAUGAAAGCUGGAAUGAAUGAAUUGAUAAAAUAUAAACUUUAUUAAUUAAAUUAAAUUGAAUUUAAAUUUUAAGUUAAAAUGCUUAAAUAUUUUAAUAAGACGAGAAGACCCUAUAGAAUUUUAUAUAAAUAAAUAGAAUAAUUUUAUUUUAUUAAAAUUAUUAUUUAAGGUAUAUUUUAUUGGGAGGGUAAAUAAAUUUAAUAAACUUUAUAAGGUUAUCUACAAUUAUAAUUGAGUUUACAUGAAUUAAUUAUAUUAAUAUUAAAUAAAUUACCUUAGGGAUAACAGCAUAAUAUUUUUUGAUAGUUCUUAUUGAUAAAAAUGUUUAUGACCUCGUGUUUUA